rnacentral:rRNA from 1 species
CAGUAGCCACGGGAAUACGAAGGGGGCUAGCGUUGUUCGGAUAUACUGGGCGUAAAGGGCGCGUAGGCGGACUGAUAAGUCAGGGGUGAAAUCCCAAGGCUCAACCUUGGAACUGCCUUUGAUACUGUUUGUCUUGAGUUCGAGAGAGGUAAGUGGAACUGCGAGUGUAGAGGUGAAAUUCGUAGAUAUUCGCAAGAACACCAGUGGCGAAGGCGGCUUACUGGCUCGAAACUGACGCUGAGGCGCGAAAGCGUGGGGAGCAAACAGGAUUAGAUACCCGAGUAGUCCCUGUCUCUUAUAC